GAGUAGCCGUGUGCGGUGAAAGUCGCAAGCACGGUUUCGGAUGGGAGGGGGAGGUUAGUAAUAACUUCUCUCGACCCUAAC
rfam:Crinalium epipsammum PCC 9333, complete genome.